rnacentral:snRNA from 1 species
ACAAUAUAUUAAAUGGAUUUUUGGAGCUUGGAGUUGGAAUAGGAGCUUGCUCCGUCCACUCCAUGCAUCAACCUGGUAUUGCAGUACUUCCAGGAAUGGUAC